rnacentral:rRNA from 1 species
AUUGAACGCUGGCGGCAGGCCUAACACAUGCAAGUCGAGCGAGCGGCGGACGGGGGAGUAAUGUAUGGGGACUGCCCGAUAGAGGGGGAUAACUACUGGAAACGGUAGCUAAUACCGCAUACUAUCGGAUAACGCAUAGGGGAUUAGCUAGUAGGUGAGGUAAUGGCUCACCUAGGCGACGAUCACUAGCUGGGCUGAGAGGAUGAUCAGCAAAACUUGGACUGAGACACGGCCCAGACUCCUACGGAGGCAGCAGUAGGGAAGAGUGCGCAAUGGGCGCAAGUCUGAUGCAGGAAUGCCGCGGGAAGGAAGAAGGCCGUAGGGUUGUAAAGUACUUUCAGUAGGGAGGCGGUACCGACAGAAGAAGCACCGGCUAACUCCGUGCCAGCCGCCGCGGUAAUAC